AGGGAGGUGUUUUUCAAAGAAUUUCCUGAAACCAGCCAACAAAGGUCAGAGACUGACAUUCGAGUGUGUCGUGUGUGUCCUUGAUGGGGUUUUUUCUUUUUAGGCCAACUAAAAUUUGGAGCUGUAAAAUGAUCUUUAGCUUCUUGAAUCCCAACAGGAGCAUCCUUUAGUCUUGAAUUGCGCUGCUUGGAAAAAUUGAUGAUAUCCUUGUAUACCACGGCUACAUUCAGCUCCUCUAAUACCUUGGUUUAGCAUUUUCUUUAGCUACUGCAAUGCUCUUUGAACAGCAAGUAAUUCAGCCUUCUUUGCAGAUCUAGGCAUCACCACACCCCUGCAAGCAAUCAUCUCCUGCCUUUCAUUUUUGGCCAUAAUCUUGACAACAGCAUGUCUGGUUCCUUCAAUGUAAGACCCAUAAUAGUUAAUCUUCGCAAAACCUAGCUCAGGUUUACUCUACACACCCUGCCUUUCGUCCACCCAAUUAUGACCCAGCUCUCUUACAUUUUUACAGGAUACACAAUCUUAAAGAGCUUUUUUUAAUCUGUAUAAAUGACAUUUUCAGGAUCAGGUGAAUUGUUGUUAAAGAUUACUGCAUAUUAAGCAUUCCAGAUAUACCAGCAGGUGUAGCCAAUCAUUCUUAAGCAUUAUGAGCCCAUAUCAAGUCAUUUGAUCUCCUGACUCACAUUUGUAGAAUAUCAGCCAGUACCAAUAUGUCACCAUUACCAGUAAUUAGUGGUCUCUUAUACUUGUCAGUUAACAUCAUCAUAAGAGUUUUCUAGCAAAUCAUCAACAUGGUAUCCCGGUUCAUUUUUUGUUGCAGUUAAUUAGGUGUGCGUAUAAUUUUGUUCUGAUCACUCUUGUAGUUGUUCAUCAUGCAUGAAAGAUAACUUUUAUUCGGGAGUAAUUGCUCAUCCUGUUUCAGACUUUUGGAUGAGAAAUAUGAGGACUAUGGAAAGACUAUCAACGGUGGAGGAUAAGAAGCAUGGAAUAUUCUGUUUCCUUCAUCUCUAAUUUCUCUUUGGAUGAGAAAUAUGAGGAAUGUGGAAAGCUUAAGUGGUCUUCGCAGCCAUCUCUCCUCUCUCAAACGGCUAUCCUUUAUAGGUUACCGAUACUUGCAUAAGAAGAUUUCUCUCCAAUGUCUAAUUUUUAUUCUUCAG
rnacentral:lncRNA from 1 species